UACGAGAGGAGCGAGCAUUAUUCAGAAUGAUUAGGCGUAAAGGGUUCGUAGGUGGUUUUUCAAGUUGUUUAAUAAAAAGUAAAGCUUAACUUUAUUACAUUUUUCAAUACUAAAAAACUAGAGUAUACAAUAGAGGAUAAUAGAACAUUUAAGGGAGAGAUAAAAUUCGUUGAUAUUAAAUGGAAUUUCAAGGGCGAAGGCAAUUAUCUGGGUAUAUACUGACACUGAGGAACGAAAGCUUGGGUAGCGAAUGGG
rnacentral:rRNA from 1 species